rnacentral:rRNA from 1 species
UAACCCCGGGAAACCGGGGCUAAUACCGGAUAAUACUUUUCAUCACCUGAUGGAAAGUUGAAAGGUGGCUUCUUGCUACCACUUACAGAUGGGCCCGCGGCGCAUUAGCUAGUUGGUGAGGUAACGGCUCACCAAGGCAACGAUGCGUAGCCGACCUGAGAGGGUGAUCGGCCACACUGGGACUGAGACACGGCCCAGACUCCUACGGGAGGCAGCAGUAGGGAAUCUUCCGCAAUGGACGAAAGUCUGACGGAGCAACGCCGCGUGAGUGAUGAAGGUUUUCGGAUCGUAAAGCUCUGUUGUUAGGGAAGAACAAGUGCCGUUCGAAUAGGGCGGCACCUUGACGGUACCUAACCAGAAAGCCCCGGCUAACUACGUGCCAGCAGCCGCGGUAAUACGUAGGGGGCAAGCGUUGUCCGGAAUUAUUGGGCGUAAAGCGCGCGCAGGCGGUCCUUUAAGUCUGAUGUGAAAGCCCACGGCUUAACCGUGGAGGGUCAUUGGAAACUGGAGGACUUGAGUACAGAAGAGGAGAGUGGAAUUCCACGUGUAGCGGUGAAAUGCGUAGAGAUGUGGAGGAACACCAGUGGCGAAGGCGACUCUCUGGUCUGUAACUGACGCUGAGGCGCGAAAGCGUGGGGAGCGAACAGGAUUAGAUACCCUGGUAGUCCACGCCGUAAACGAUGAGUGCUAGGUGUUAGGGGGUUUCCGCCCCUUAGUGCUGAAGUUAACGCAUUAAGCACUCCGCCUGGGGAGUACGGCCGCAAGGCUGAAACUCAAAAGAAUUGACGGGGGCCCGCACAAGCGGUGGAGCAUGUGGUUUAAUUCGACGCAACGCGAAGAACCUUACCAGGUCUUGACAUCCUCUGCAAUCGGUAGAGAUACCGAGUUCCCUUCGGGGACAGAGUGACAGGUGGUGCAUGGUUGUCGUCAGCUCGUGUCGUGAGAUGUUGGGUUAAGUCCCGCAACGAGCGCAACCCUUGAUCUUAGUUGCCAGCAUUUAGUUGGGCACUCUAAGGUGACUGCCGGUGACAAACCGGAAGAAAGGGGGGGAUGACGUCAAAUCAUCAUGGCCCCUUAUGACCUGGGGCUACACACCGUGCUACAAUGGGAUGGAACAAAGGGAAACCAAACCCGCGGGGUCAAGCAAAUCCCCUAAAAACCAUUUCCAAUUUUGGAAUUGCAGGGUUGAAAAUUCCCCUGCAUUAAAACCGGAAAUCCUCUUUAG